rnacentral:lncRNA from 1 species
ACUUUACAGAGUUUAGGAUGUUUUACAAGUAUGUGCCAUCACAAUUCCUAGCACUUAAAAGCUUUUUUCCCCUGUAGUUGAAAGCCUCUCUUGGAAUGAAUGUGAUCAGUGCCAUAACUGCAGGGAUAUCCAUUAUUCUGAUGGGUGCAGACAUAGGAAUCACCUCAUCGAUUCGUCCAAAUUGCUAUAAGCAUGACUGUAUAAAUCCUCAGGGGUUUGGUUCAGGGAUCCUUGGAAUAUUGCUGGUGUUCUCCAUCCUUCAGUUGAUCAUCUCCAUCUUUAUCUCAGCAUUUGCCUGCAAAGCCACCAACAGCACAGACUCUACGGUGAUCAAUGUGGCAAUAAACCAGGGAUACUGAGUCACAGUAAGGAGAUACCAUCCAAAGGUUGCAAGGAAUUCAUAUUUGUAGUGUUGCUUCUGACUCAAAUAUUUUUCUUUCUUUCUAGUGUAUCUAUAAUAGUAAGAGAGUGAGAAUAUAUGGACACAUUUAAUUGGAAAAUUGAUCUUCAAACCAUGAUCAAACACAUAUGUACAAGCUAAUCAAUCAAGCUAGCCUUCGGGAUUUCUAAAAAAAAAUAAUAAAAAAAAAUAAGCCAGGCAGGUGCGUUGGUCAGGGUUGGAGCUAAACUCUACAGGACCAUAGAUCUUGAGGGCCAGAGUUGUGAAACCCUGUGUUAUCAACCACAUGUUAACAUAAUUUUUUUUUAAAGCAAAACAUGAUUGGACUGAUAUAUGAGUCUUUUAAAUAAAGGUGACCA